CCAUCAAAUCGAGGGGUUCACCUGCUUGAAGGUCUUGAAUUUAAAAGACACCCGUGUCUGCCGAUUGCCACCAAAGCUUCCCACCAGUUUGAACCUACCAGAAGUCUCAUCCACUUCACUGCAAAGAGUUCCAAAAUUGUUAGAGCUGCGGAAUUUAGUUACAUUGUAUCCAUCAGAUUUGGGUCAUUAUUGCGAUAAGUCGGGCCAAAUACAACCUUCCAAGUUGAGGGGGAUCGGGAAGCAACACAGACUAGCAUAUUUGAUAUUGCAUAUGAACAUCACUCCCAUUUCUAAGAAGUUCAGUUCCCUUUCUCAGCUACGGAAACUUGACUUGAGGUGCGCACAUUUGCAGUCUUGCCCACCUCUUCCAUCCAGCCUGUCAACGUUGAUUCUUAAUAGACUUGAAGAAAGGACCAAACUGCCACAACUUUCUAAUUUGAAAAGUCUGUCAUGGUUAGAGUUCUGCGGAUGCUCUAUGGAAGACGACACUGUUGGAAACCUUGGAAUCGCAGAGUUGGACUCCUUGAGUUACAUCGGUUUCUCGUGUUGCAAGUUGAGAAAUCUCAAUGGGUUUCACCUGCCAGAAAGUAUAUGUCAACUGAAUAUAACUUGUUGUUCCUCUCUCAAGACUAUAUCUGCUCUAUCACAUUUAAAGAAGUUGCUAACAUUGGAUGUUUCGGGCGCAACAAAGCUAGUCGAGAUCCAAGAGCUGGGGGAAUUGGAUUCCUUGCUAAUGUUAAAUAUUAAUUUUUGUGAUCGCUUGAAGAGAUUAGAGAACCUGUCGAGGUUGAAAAGGCUAGAAACAAUUACGAUAAGGAAUUGUCAAAAGUUCAAAGGCAUUGACGACAUCAGAGAAUUGGAAUCCCUGAUAGAUCUUCAUAUACAAGGUUGUGAUUGCGAAGAUGUAAACAUCAUCAGGCGAAAUCAGCCAAUGUUCUAGGAAGAGGCGCUUUGAAGAUUUGGAUUGAGGUGAUUGAAUUCAGCAACUCUGAACUCAACUUACGAAUGAAGAGUGGAUAUAGAAACACAACAAAUCUCUAUCUUGCAGUAUGUUCUGUACCUGACAUGCAGGUCAUACUUCCUUUAUUCAUCCAGACUUGCUGCUUAGUGAUCCACAAUGUCCGUGCAGACAGUUCAAAAGAUGAUGGCAAGUACUCAUGAGGACGUCCAUAGGUAGUAAAUUUUUGACAUUUAAUACCCAUCAGCUCUUCUAUCGGGCUCCAUUGUCUGGUGAUCUUCCAUCAGCGGCGCCUUGGAUCUAGCGACCAGCAAGUGAGGUCAUGAAGUUGCACCACUGGGUCUGCAUCAUCGACUAUACAACAAGGCCUUGAGUAGCUGAUCAAGUUCUAGAGGCACUAUCAAGUCCAACAAAGGAGGAGGAAGAGUUGAAGAAAUGGUCGUCACUGGAAGACACUGCGAAUCAGGAGAUUUAAGUCUCUAGAAUGAAUUUUCAAAAGAUCUCGGUCUAAUUGACGUGCAUUUAUUUACACUCUAAAAAAGGAUGAUAAUAUUUUCAGUCACCUCUUAAUCGAGGGAUGCUACAGAGUUGAUACAGAAGCUGUUGGACAUGAGUUUCAAGUUUAGGAACCACAGCUCAUGUUUUCAUGCUCCUCUAUUAGUGAGAUGUGGUAUUGUGUGCUAAAUCGGAAAAUACACAUGGUGUGGCGUUCUGAGCUGUCUCACUAACUCGAGCAACUAAGCAUCUAGAUUGAGCUAUGAGUAUUAGAAAAUAGUAUUUAUAAUGGAGAUUUGUUGGCUCUGAACAAUUUUGCAGGAUCCACUGGUGAUGAAAGGAACUAGCUUGGUGCCUUUAAUCGGAAUAAGAUGCCUGUGAUCUACUGGUAAUUUGAUACACAAUUCUUAAUCAUUCCAGGUUUAGUGCCCUUUUCGCCUCUCAAAUCUUUUAAAGAGGAAAUUUUUUUGGAAUGUUUACGGUUUUAUUUCCGAA